AUGUGUAUCCAUCUCAUUGUCCUCGCUCUUUGCCUGACUCCAUGCCUGCCUCAGUCCAUUCUACAAACUCCACCAAUGAUAGUUGUGAGCCCUGAGCAGCCAGUGAAGCUGAAUUGCACCUCGAUGGCUACUGGAGAUCCCUAUAUGUAUUGGUAUAGGCAGCCAAUGACCGGAGGGGCUCUUGUGCUUGUAGUGUUAUCUUAUGGGAAAGGUUCGGUUGAAGAGCUAACACUCAAAAAUUUCACAGCCAAGAGAAUUAAGGACAAAGAGGCGGAAUUCACCUUGGAAAGCGAUAAGAUUAAGGCUGAAGAUGCAGGGGUCUAUUACUGUGCGUGGAGUAUCACAGAUGUAUAA